UACGGGGGGGGCAAGCGUUGUUCGGAAUUACUGGGCGUAAAGGGCGCGUAGGCGGUUCGCUAAGUCGAACGUGAAAUCCCCGGGCUCAACCCGGGAACUGCGUCCGAUACUGGCAGGCUUGAAUUCGGGAGAGGGAUGUGGAAUUCCAGGUGUAGCGGUGAAAUGCGUAGAUAUCUGGAGGAACACCGGUGGCGAAGGCGACUACCUGGCCUGUUCUUGACGCUGAGGCGCGAAAGCUAGGGGAGCAAACGGGG
rnacentral:rRNA from 1 species